AUAAAUAAUUCUAUAAAAAUUACAGUUAAAAUUUUAAACGUAAAUAUAAGAGUAUCUACUUAUAUACUCAUUUACUAUAAUAUAAUAUUGUAUUAUGUGUGUGUAUAAAAUAUAAAUAUAAGGCAGGUGUAACAAAUUUGCAUAUAUCGUAGUGGUGGCAUAUUAAUCGUUUGAACUAUUAUCCAUGGAUGUACGCGUGGUGAAAUAUUCAUGUCAUAUUGAGGAUCGAAUACAACAGAGUGGUAUACAUAUAUCAUAUAUUAUAACGAUGAAACGAAAUGACAGCGUUUUCCUUCAACAACCUUUUU